CGUAGGGCGCAAGCGUUGUCCGGAAUUAUUGGGCGUAAAGAGCUUGUAGGUGGCUUGUCGCGUCUGCCGUGAAACCCGACGGCUCAACCUCGGGCGGUGCGGUGGGUACGGGCGAGGCUAGAGUGUGGUAGGGGAGGACUGGAACUCCUGGUGUAGCGGUGAAAUGCGCAGAUAUCAGGAAGAACACCGAUGGCGAAGGCAGGUCUCUGGGCCAUUACUGACACCGAGAAGCGAAAGCAUGGGUAGGCGAACAGGAUU
rnacentral:rRNA from 1 species